rnacentral:rRNA from 1 species
UGCGUAGGCGGAUAAAUAAGUCAGUGGUGAAAUCUUCCGGCUCAACCGGGAAACUGCCAUUGAUACUGUUUAUCUUGAGUUCGGUUGAGGUAGGCGGAAUGUGUAAUGUAGCGGUGAAAUGCUUAGAUAUUACACAGAACACCAAUUGCGUAGGCAGCUUACUAGACCGACACUGACGCUGAGGCACGAAAGCGUGGGGAGCGAACAGGAUUAGAUACCCUGGUAGUCC